UACGUAGGGGCCUAGCGUUGUCCGGAAUUAUUGGGCGUAAAGUGUGCGCAGGCGGCAGAGCAAGUCGAGUGUGAAAGCCCCGGGCUUAACUUGGGAAUUGCGCUCGAAACUACUUUGCUGGAGUGUGGCAGAGGAAGGUGGAAUUCCACGUGUAGCGGUGAAAUGCGUAGAGAUGUGGAGGAACACCAAUGGCGAAGGCAGCCUUCUGGGCCAACACUGACGCUCAUGCACGAAAGCGUGGGGAGCAAACAGG
rnacentral:rRNA from 1 species